rnacentral:misc_RNA from 1 species
CAUAUGACCCGUUUUAACCAUGCCUAGUAAUGCCUGAACCGCCCCGAGUUUCACCAAUUUAGCCCUGUUACUCUGAACUAAAGUGAGGUGAUAUAGAGCCAGAGCCGAAUCAUGCCUAGUUCGUUCCGAUUCAGAUCGAAGGGCAUGAAGAAGUGGAGGCAGAGCUCCUAAUACCCCAAUUGCAGUUUUGUUCUGAUCAUCUAACGCUAAACUGAAAAGUGCACCAGCAACAUGUUCCUGUGAUUCUUGGAAUCCACUUUUCAACACGUCAAUCAAAGACGGAACAAUUCCAGACCGUAAAAUUUUCACCUUGUUUCGAUUCUCUAACGACAAAUUUACCAAUGCCGCUACUGAAUUUACUUGUACAGAAACAUACCUUGAAGUGAUGAAUACACGUAGAGCUGAAAGUAUACGCGGAGUGCAUAACUGGAACCGGGUUUCUUCACGGGUUCGGGUCAAUUUUCGAAACGAGAUGACAGCUUCUUCUUGUUCAGAUAUUUGGGAACUCUUCAAUUUCACAAGUAGUUCAUCUUCUUCAAAGGAAUUUGGGUUUAGGGUUUCAAAGUCAGAGGCUGACGACGAAGAGUAAUAAGUGGGUCCACUUCUAGGAGUCACAGAUUCCUCUGAACUCAUUGAUAUGUGACUCGGUACCCGGUUCAGUUCAGUUUCCGUCUGCAUAACCCGGACGCCAUUAAAUCUUGUAGCAUCUUGGGGUUUUCGGGUGGCCUUCAAUGUGAAAACGAGAUUUUCAGCUGUGAGAAAAUUGAUGGGUUUUGG